rnacentral:rRNA from 1 species
UACGUAGGGUGCAAGCGUUAAUCGGAAUUACUGGGCGUAAAGCGUGCGCAGGCGGUUUUGUAAGUCUGACGUGAAAUCCCCGGGCUCAACCUGGGAAUUGCGUUGGAGACUGCAAGGCUAGAAUCUGGCAGAGGGGGGUAGAAUUCCACGUGUAGCAGUGAAAUGCGUAGAGAUGUGGAGGAACACCGAUGGCGAAGGCAGCCCCCUGGGUCAAGAUUGACGCUCAUGCACAAAAGCGUGGGGAGCAAACAGG